rnacentral:rRNA from 1 species
GUGGGGAAUCUUGCGCGAUGGGCGAAAGCCUGACGCAGCCAUGCCGCGUGGAUGAUGAAGGUCUUAGGAUUGUAAAAUCCUUUCACCGGUGAAGAUAAUGACUGUAGCCGGAGAAGAAGCCCCGGCUAACUUCGUGCCAGCAGCCGCGGUAAUACGAAGGGGGCUAGCGUUGCUCGGAUUUACUGGGCGUAAAGGGCGCGUAGGCGGACAUUUAAGUCAGGGGUGAAAUCCCGGGGCUCAACCUCGGAACUGCCUUUGAUACUGGGUGUCUUGAGUAUGAGAGAGGUGUGUGGAACUCCGAGUGUAGAGGUGAAAUUCGUAGAUAUUCGGAAGAACACCAGUGGCGAAGGCGACACACUGGCUCAUUACUGACGCUGAGGCGCGAAAGCGUGGGGAGCAAACAGGAUUAGAAACCCCGGUAGUCC